UACAGAGGUCUCAGGCGUUGUUCGGAUUCAUUGGGCGUAAAGGGUGCGUAGGCGGCGCGGUAAGUCGGGUGUGAAAUCUCGGAGCUUAACUCCGAAACUGCAUUCGAUACUGCUGUGCUUGAGGACUGGAGAGGAGACUGGAAUUUACGGUGUAGCGGUGAAAUGCGUAGAUAUCGUAAGGAAGACCAGUGGCGAAGGCGGGUCUCUGGACAGUUCCUGACGCUGAGGCACGAAGGUCAGGGGAGCAAACGGG
rnacentral:rRNA from 1 species